GGAAUUUUCCGCAAUGGGCGAAAGCCUGACGGAGCAACGCCGCGUGAGGGAUGAAGGCCUCUGGGCUGUAAACCUCUUUUAUCAAGGAAGAAGAUCUGACGGUACUUGAUGAAUAAGCCACGGCUAAUUCCGUGCCAGCAGCCGCGGUAAUACGGGAGUGGCAAGCGUUAUCCGGAAUUAUUGGGCGUAAAGCGUCCGCAGGCGGUCUUUUAAGUCUGCUAUUAAAGAGUGGAGCUUAACUCCAUUUCGGCAGUGGAAACUGGAAGACUAGAGUGUGGUAGGGGCAGAGGGAAUUCCCGGUGUAGCGGUGAAAUGCGUAGAUAUCGGGAAGAACACCAGUGGCGAAGGCGCUCUGCUGGGCCAUAACUGACGCUCAUGGACGAAAGCCAGGGGAGCGAAAGGGAUUAGAUACCCCAGUAGUC
rnacentral:rRNA from 1 species